GACGCGACGUCACCGAUGACACUUUCGAAAACCCGAAUCAAAAUUGAACAGUGAAACGGAUAAGGCGGUGAAAGAAAUGCGGCCGUACCGUACUACCGACGACUAUUGAAAAUAAUGGCAUGCGGACACGGAUUUAAAAUCGAAGCGACCAAGAAUUGUUUCGAUUGCCAAACUUCAAAUGACUCUGUACCAUGUGCAAAGAAAAGCCCGAAAAAAGUUAGAAUCUCCAAGAUCCGACCUUCGAUACGUAAAGAAGGCUUCACAAAUUGCAAGAGCUCAACCACCUUUUGUAAAUCGGUGGCCUGUUGCGCAGAUUCGAAAAGCUCCAAUUCCUGUUCGAACUUAACGGAACCGAAGCGGUUGCCUUGGCCUCUACCCAGAGAGACCGCCAACUUCUAUAACCGGAAUCACGCACGACCCAACGUCUUUGACAAUUGUUGUACUAGGUAUGAUAAGGAUUGUUCCUGUAACGAAUUGGUUGAUUGUUGCCCCAUGAAGUGCAAGAAAAUACCAAAACGUCCAAUUCUACUUGAGGUACCGUGCGACCUCCCAAUUUACCCUGAUCAAGGCUGUUACCCCAACACGUCCGCAAUUGCACCGGAUUGUUGUAGCUGUUGUGGUGCACAACUUUGUCCUGUAACGGUUUGUCGGGAAGCUUGUUGUCAAACGAAAUGUCCUCCAAAACCAUGUCCACCUCCAAGAGGAUGUUGUCCAAGUAAACCGACGUGCAAGCCACGAAAAUGCAAAAGCCCCAACACCUCCAAAGUAUGUCCAGCCAUAGACGCUUGCUGCCAAUGUUGCCCUCCAACUCCAUGCCGUACCGAAAGGGCCACCUCCUGCCGACAAAUCGAAACGUGCAGCUGCAAACCGGAACCCUGCUGCCACGAACAACCCGAACCCCGAUGCUGUUGCGUCUCCGGAAACUUCCCGGCCCAACACAAGCUCUGCACCGUCCCCGCGGCCGAGCUAAAACCCGACCCAAAGCCCUGCCCCCCGCGAACCUGCCACGAAUCGCUGUGCGAGCCGUGCGGCCUCAUGACCCCCGACGAGGUGCGCCUCAAGAUGGAGUGUCUGGCGCGGCAGAACGCCAUCGUCCAGGAACGGGACUGUCGCAAAGACAGGAACAAGGGCUGCGGACCGCCGGCCUGCUGUUGCAGCUCGUGCAUCGACCGCUGUCCCUGCGGCCCCUGCUGCAAGUGCAAGCCGUGCCUCUACUCGGUGCCGCGUUGCAUCAGGUGCAAGCAGAAGGUACAAUUUGUUGAUAUAGAUGGGAUGCCAAAAUUCGGUGUACGCAGCUGAGAAGAUCCUGAUGGGUGGUGGGGUCUACCACAACAAUUGUUUCACUUGCAGCUGCUGCAACAAACAAUUGGACGCCCUGAACGUCCACGAAGGUUGUGGAGAAGUAUUUUGUAAACAAUGUUAUUCAAACUUUUUUGGUGUCAAGUAUUAUGGUUUUGGUGCUGGUCCAUCCAUGUAAAUGUAUUGUGUCUGUAUUUUUCUAAUAAAAUUGUUACGCAAUU